AAAGCAUCGGAACGUAUCCGGAAGAGGGGGAUAACGUAGCGAAAGUUACGCUAAUACCGGCAUAUUCUGUGAGCAGGAAANAGGGGGAUCGCAAGACCUCUCGCUUUCGGAGCGGCCGAUGUCGGAUUAGCUAGUUGGUGGGGUAAAGGCUCACCAAGGCAACGAUCCGUAGCGGGUCUGAGAGGAUGAUCCGCCACACUGGAACUGAGACACGGUCCAGACUCCUACGGGAGGCAGCAUGGGGAAUUUUGGACAAUGGGCGCAAGCCUGAUCCAGCCAUGCCGCGUGAGUGAAGAAGGCCUUCGGGUUGUAAAGCUCUUUCGGCGGGGAAGAAAUUGCUCAGGAUAAUACCUUGAGUAGAUGACGGUACCCGCAUAAGAAGCACCGGCUAACUACGUG
rnacentral:rRNA from 1 species